ACAGUCCUUAUGAAGAAAUGAAUCACUUUUGGAAGAUGACUGGUGGAUGAAAUAAGAGAGGAAACAACCAAUCAGGAAGACAUAUUGUAUACUCGUCAGCGACACUGACUCUCAUGCUGUGAAAUCCAUAAAUGAAGUGUUACAGUACUCCCACUUCUCAUUCACACUUGAACAAGUGCACCCACUCACCCCAGAAGUGUUUCUGAUGGGAGCUGUGAUGAAUGUGACAUUGCCUCCCCGUCCCCUCCAUCGCCCCUUUAGGCACCACCACUCCUCGAGCCGUCGGUGUCCCUGAGGAUCUAUGACCUGGUUCAAACACGAGUGCGUCUUGUGGUUUUCUAUACUUUCGUGUGUGUGUGCGUCAAUGGAGACCGAGAUAAAAGUGCAUGGAGAGCCUGAAUAACAUCACCACAUUGCCAGGGUGCAGCCAGUCAGCUGCAGUGGAAAAUCCCCCACAGAGCUGUAGCCUCAUUUUCUAACCUAAGCUCAGCAACACACUAUCCCACACCCCAACACCUCAGGCUUCGAGGUUUACUUUCCAGAGGGAGGAGGAAAGGGAUAUUAUCAUCACUACUCUGCCUUAAUGGACCUUUUAAAGAUCAAAAUCACAGAGAGUGCUAGGCCUCCACAGAUACUUUGGGAUGACAGAGAAUCUCCCUUGUCUUCCUGUUAAAAUCUAAACCCUUCAGAAAUAAGUCUUUUUCAAAAUAUUAAUUUUGCCUUCCUGACAUAAAAAUAGAAAUCAUUAAUACUCUAUGCAAAAGGAACUUUUUCUAUACCCUACAUCAAAAGUCUAAAGGUUUAUUUGUUCUGAGUGUAGAUUUUGGAGUUUAAUGCUGUAUGUAAUCACUCCAGUCUCAUUAGUACAUUUAGAAUGAUGGCAUCAACUAGCUUCUAUAAGAAUUGAUAUAGUAUCUGUGAAUGAGUCUGGGUCUCUUUACUCCAGGCAAAUGUGAGCUAAUCCUGGACAAAGUAUGCCCUUAUCUUCUUUUACCCGGGUCCCAGAGAAUAUGAAGGGGUCUGGGUGCCACAGCCAGCUGUCAGUUCUAGCCUCUUGCCUUGUCACCAGGCUUACUGACCCCAUAGUCUGGUAAGGGAUCUGGAAAUGAAGGUGGCCAUGGUAAAGCUUGAGCUCUUUUUCCUUUUAGGUGCCCAUGAGCCUAUUUGUUGAUCCUACAUGCAUCCACUGAGAGUGAACAAGCCUAAUGGAUAAAAUCAUCUUAAGAAUGAGGCACAAAGCAGUGUUUCCUGGCAGAUUUUAACACUGCAUUGCCUUGCAGAAGGCUCAGAUUUUCUUUUUUGCUCUGCAAAUCGUUUUAUCUCCUCACCAGAGAGACAGACAGACACAAUCAUAGAGACAGAGACAGACUUACAUGCCCUUCCAAUUUUAGAACCUUCAUCUAUAAAUUAAUUACUAAGAGAAUCACCUUCUAAAUUAAUCUGUGAAAAAAAAUGAGACAUCAUAAGCAAUAAAUAGUGAAUUCUAGCAGAAAGUUACUCUAAUCAGAACUCACUGAAUAUAAUUUAAAAUGUGAGGAACCAUUCCCUUUAAAUACUUUGGAGAUUAUA